UCAGCUAUGACCGCCACGACACCUGCUCGCCCCAACAUACCCGGUGUCAGGCUGGACAUGUCUGUAUGUGAAGGUGAUAGCUCUACCUCCAAGAGAACUCGUUGCGGGGAUACACCUGAUCCCCUGCGCAAGCGCCACUGCUCUGAAGGGGAAUCUCCCGCGGAUAUCAACAUGUCGAUUGUUCGUUUUGCCCAGUUCACCUUGCGAGCAAUCAGUGAACUAUUCAUCAAUCUGCCCAAUGAUGGUAGUACUACAGUUUUCAGUGAGCGGCGGGAAGAGCUACCUGGCCGCAAGUAUGUUCAGCACCCUGGGUUCCAAACUGAUCCUUGGGGCAGGGGUGUCGUCCCGCCACCCCCUGCAAUGAUAUAUCUGAACUUAUCCUUCAGUUUUUUGCAUCGUCAUCCGUGCAAGAAUUAUGGAGGAAUUUCCUGGUUCAUGAGAUGCCGAGGUUUGCACGCGUCACUAGAGUGGCAAUGAAAGAACAACUAGGGGGGAGACCCUAAUUGAUCACGAGUUGAUGUCUGUAAUCCUUCGUCGAUAUUCUCAGAUCGACCAGCAAUAUGAUCCAGAAUGCCCAUAUCUUACCUGGCGUCACCCUAUCGAGCCAGAUUUCCCGGUAAAGAUGCAAGUCUAAGACAUAUAUCCAUUUUAAUUAUCUCAGCUACAAUGGUAUGUCAUGAGACCAUUUUUUCAUUCCGGGAAACCAUGCUUGUGCAUUUUGUGGCAUACGCUUGUCCUAGCAGAGUACGAUUUCCUCCACACCGUGUCGAUCCAGAACCAGCUUGUUGCUGAUUCGCUUAAGUAUGAUCUCACUUUAGUGGAGCUGUUUUACACACCUGUUCCACGGCCAGAGGGCUGGAUGGCUGUUUUCUUCAACAUGCUGACUAGGGUCAUCUGGGUGAUUGACCCACUGUACCACAACAAGUUAGCCUGCCCACCCACGGGGCAACACGACGAGAUUAUAGCAUGGAAGCUGCAUGAUGCAUUGUUCACUUGUCUGAAUGAAUUCUACGCUGGAUGGCCAACUAGCAAGGAUAAUUGGACUCUCAAGUUCCCUUCCAUGACCGACUGCAUUUUCUCCUGUGCCGACACAGGCGGGUGUGUCCUCCUUGUGGCAAGGCACUUUGGUGCUCACAAGCUGAAAAUGCCACUCACCAAGGUCCCGAGCCUCCCAGACUAGGCUCAGCGCCGUGAUUGUUGGUUGCAUCAGCUGAAACACCCGUCCGACAAAGAUGUUAUGCUUCUAGGUUGUCAACGUCAGUUUUGAAUGCAUAAUUUUGUAACCUAUACCUUGAUGGAUAUGCUGCUCGCCCCCUGCCGAUGCAGGCCCCACCACGCAAUUAGCUGCUACUGAUGAUCCGCCAGAUGUAGUAACUGUAUUACAUGAUCAGCCGGUCAGGUCAUGCAAAUCCAUGCUGCUAGUGUCAGUCAUAUGAUAUCUUACUUGUUAUUCCAGGGAACACAUAGUCCCCUGUUUCUUGACGAGUGAUGACCCCAACUCCAUAGCCUACGCCCCUGGCUGUAUCAUUGGGACGCAUAUGUACCUCACCUAUUUUUUGGAACAAUCAAUCAUGUUAGACUUUAACUUUCAGGAUGUACACUACGCUACUCACUUAUAGGAUCCACAUUUUGAUUUACCAUGUAAUCCAUCUGGGGGAAUGCUCUGCUCUGCGGCUCCUCCUUGUUGGUCGUCUUGCGUCGCACCUGCAUCACUGUCAGAGCUAUCCGAUGAAGAUGACCCACUCCCGGAAGGUGUUUUCCGUUUCCUAUUGCGACACUUCUUGCUCCCACGGUGCACACAUCUUUUCUGUCGUUGCCUUGCUGGAGGCACAAACCGAAUUACUGGCUGUUCCGGAGUAGAGCUCAUGCACAGCACACCUGGUGUUGCCAUCACAAAAUGUUUGCUUUUGUUACGAGAAGCACUUAACGAAACAACACAAUGGUUUUACAUCUAUGUGGGAUAGCAUUAUGCACCGUUGAUCUCAGCCUGGAACUUGAGACAAUCUAGCACCAUAUCAGCAUUGCUUGGCGUUGCUCUCAUCAGCUCAUCUGGGACAAGAUUUUAUCAUCACGCCGACAUGAUUGUUGUUAGUAGUUAUACGCAAAAAUCAUGUAACAACAAAAUUGUAUCACUGCUUUUCAAAAAUAUACCUAUUUCUGCCUCGAUAGUUUCCAUGGCGCAGUUGCCUGCUUGCGCAUCUGUAACCACAUUAUAAGCUCUAAUUAGUCAGCAAAAGACAAAGCAUUGGAAGGCUCUUUAUCACAACUUCAGAAACCUAGCAAACUAUACCUCCACGAAUGACCAAGGUGGGGGGGUCUGGUUAUUGCUCUUGUGUUUUUCUAUGUAUUUCCUAAUGCAUGCCUACUUCCCCCUAGAUGAUUUUUCCGGUUCUGCUACAAUUUUUCUUCAGUAAAUCGACCAUCCUCGUAUUAUUUUUAUUUAUUAUUCACCUUCUAUGUGGUGCAUUUCAUACUUCUGGGGGUGUUAGUUGAAUGCCUCUCACCUAAACAACCAAUAUUUGUUAGCUCUGCUAUGAACACCCGUGGGCAAAAAUAUGAUAGUGACUUUUCCUAAUUUUACUUGUCGUCCCACUGCGACAGUGAUAUUAAGAACGCACACACCAUUCAUAUCAUUUCUAGCUUGCAAAAGAGCGACAUAAUUUUUUACUAUGCACGAUUCUUAACCACACCAGUAAUGGCAUCAUUACCGACGCUGCCAUCAACAUGCUCCCCCAAACCAUGUUUAGCACGCUUGGCAGAUGAGCUGCUGCUGUCUUCCUCUGCAUCUUCAUCCGACUCGCCAUGGGCGCCAGCCGAAGAGUGCUCGCCGUCUUCAACCUCUGCAAGCUCAUCCAUCCCCAGAGGCUGGUCUUCUAGGUCAUGUUCUCCAUAGCCUUCUUCCACAUCCUGCAUCGCCUGCAUCUCAACUUCCUCCUGCAUCACGAUGUGUCCGCCCUCCCAGACAUCACUUGCAGGCGGCGUCUCCUGCAGGGUAAUCACCAGAUAAAGCAAAUUCAGAGAUAACUACAGAUAUGGACUGCUAAUUGGAUGCAACCCCCUCCUCCCCCAGCACUUCGUCAUACCUGCUCAACGACUGCUGACACUCCAGAUGAUGAACUCGCCGCUACUCCUGCUCCUACGGGCUGGUUUACUGAACUAUCAAAUGCAUCAGACACCUGACAGUAGGUUACACACUUAGAAUGAUCUCCCUCACGUUAAGUUGAGAGUCGGUUAAGAAGAGGCUAACCUCUGGGAUUACACCAGCGCCCUUGUGAGUAGGAUCAGAUUUCGUAAGGCCAGACACCAAGAACGAUUGCAGGUUAGGAGCCAUGGCAAGAGCUGCCCUCUAAUGGAAGGACUUGGUAUACUAAAACAGAGGAAUGGCUUACGCACUGCCCUCUGCCUCACUACUUAUCUGUCUAUAGCUCCUCUCUUUCCCGCACUUGGGGUUUGAAAUUCGAAAUGGGUCAGUAGAGCAAUGGGCGCCACACCACCGAGAGGCAUACACCUGUAAAAAAUGCAUACUGAAACAUGUCCACAACAGGUGGCAAGCUUACCAAAAUCUGAUGAAUUUCUUUUUUCCAUGACCACAGAGUGUGCUCACUCUUAAUUGUUGACAACUUUUUUUGCAGCCCAGGCGGAAAAAUACAACAGCCGCUUAUAUGGAAUUUGAUUAUCUUCAGUAUUCACAAUUUCAUUUUCUCUCAUUUCACAUUUCCCAUUCAUU